UUUAAGCUUUUUUGUUGCUGUGCUUUUUCUGGAGAUUUUAGUUGGAUUGGAAAGCUCCUGUUUAAGGUACCCUUUCCUAAAGAAAAAUUGAAGUAAUUUGUACAAUUAUAACGCGCCGAGCUGUGUUUUAUGUUAUUGUUUCUAAGAAGAUGUAAGAAUACAAUAUUAUCAAUUUUAAUUGGUUUUAUCCAAAUCAAGAUUGUGUACAAUGGGAGUGAGUGAUGUAAUCUUCUAAUGCGUGUGGUGAAAAGAAGGCGAAUCCGUUAUUGUUUUUCUGCCCAAAUUUAAAGCUAUUUAAUAAAUCUUGAUAAAGUUAAAAAACUGUUUUGA